AUGGAUCUGCCUUCGGCAGGGGGGAUUCCUGAUAUUAAACUUAGGUAUGCAGACAAGAAGCUUGAGUCCGAAAGAAAACAGAAACAAGCCCAGCUGUUCAGAUUAUACGUAAACCCAAAAGAGCAAGCAAUCACCUACAAGGGUCUGGUGCAACAAAUAAGAGAAAGCAAAGGAUCUACGGACGAACACUUCUUGAGGAGAAUUGCUUUGUGUGCAAUUUGUCGACUGCUAUGUCCAAGUACAAAGUCAUAA
rnacentral:rRNA from 1 species